GGAGGUGGACGGAGGAUCGCUGCCCGCGCCCGUCUUCGGACGCGCGCGGGGAGAGGAAAGUCCGGGCUCCACAGGGCAGGGAGAUGGCUAACGGCCACCGGGGGCGACCCCAGGGAAAGUGCAACAGAAAUCACACCGCCAACCUGCAAACCUUCGGGUGCGCAGCGGUAAGGUUGAAAUCGUGGGGUAAGAGCCCACGCGCGACAGCCGGGUGACCGGCGGCGAGGCAAACCCCUCCCGGAGCAAGCUCGAAUAGGGACACUGUCGAAGACGGCCCGUCUGAAUGAGUGCGCGCGGAGACGCGCGCGCUCGGAGUGUCCGGGUCUGAGUGCUCGAGCCCGCCGGCAACGGCGGGCCUAGACGAAUGAUCCUCGAACCACGCCCCGCAAGGGACGCGCGGAACAGGACCCGGCUUACAGUCCACCUCCAGCA
rnacentral:RNase_P_RNA from 1 species